UACCCACUGAACCAGCUAGGUGCCCCUCAUGUUAAAAUUUUUAAUUAUAUUUUAGAACUAAAGAACUUGCAUGUCGUGUCCAAAGGAUCUCAAAGGAAUGAGAGUUAGCUCAGGAUGGGACAAUUUUAGAAAAGUAUGGAUUUUACUGAGUCAGUGGAUAAUAUUUAGUGGACCAGUAGGAUACGAUGUCCUGGUUGGAUAGAAUAGUGUAAGGAAAGUGCAAAUGGAAAAUACAAAGGCAUGUUUGGAGGUUAGCAAGUAAACCAAGUGUGUUUACAGAAGUCAUCUAAGGAACUCUCAGGAGAUGAGAAUACCCUGAAAGAUUUGGGACAAAUUUCGGAAAUCUCGUGAGUCUAAGUAAUUAUGGCCUUCUCCUAUGAGUAUUGUGGCAUUAGUGCAGAUGUUAAGAAAGAAGAUAACCUACUUGAAGUAGUGUUUUAAGAAAUUAACCUGGAAGGGAGUAAGUAAAAUUCAGGUAGAUCAUUUACAAGGUCUAGCACUCAUCUUGUUACAAUAAAAUAAGGGCUGGGACUUUUGGUCACACAUUUCAGGGGCAUAUCAAUGUAGAGUUGAAGGAACAGUGUUACUAAAGUAACAACAAGGAAAAGAGUUCUAGGUCUCUUUCAGAGAUACUUCUCUAUGCAUCUUUGGUACAUGCACCAUUUUCUUUUCUGUCAGCUUCUAUGGUCCCAUGGUAACCAUAAAGAGUAGUAGUUAAAUUAAAUCACUAACACUCUUUCCUUCCUUUUAUCUCUGUAUUUUUAUAUCAUUAGAAUGGAUCACUGGAUCAAUGGAUAUAGUACUUGAGAGAGAAUCCAUGAAUUAAUGCCCUCAACACAAUGGUAGAAAGUCAGCUUUUGGACAGAAAAGGUCAUUCCUUCCCUGAGUUAGACAUACUCAGAAACUCUUGGUCCCUUAAACAUCUUGAUAAAAAUUGAUGAAACUUUGGAGUCUUGCAGCAGUAAUUUUCAAACAUCACAGUCUCUACUAGUAAAAAGUGCAUUUAUUUCUUGAUGAUUUAUCAGUAUCUCUGGGCUCCAGAAUGAUCAUCUGGAAUAUAUAAAUCUUUGUGAAAUAUGUAGUCAUGGAAUUUAUUGCAUAGUUAAUACUUUUCAUCAAUCUUACCUUUCAAAUUGGUAGUCUCCAUUAAGAAACAUUUUAAUGAUAAACAGUAAAAUAUGCCAACCUUCCUAUUAGUUAUCUUUUUUGUAUGUACCUCUGAAUGUUAAAGUGUUGAUCAUUAUUUACACAGCGAUAUUUCAUUGUAGUUACUAUCGUAUAGUUCAGCUCAAUGUCAGACUGCCCACUGGAUGCACUGUACAAGUCAGUAAAUGAAUAUCAUUAUAUGUAUUUUUGUUUUUUAAAUGAAAGUAUUGUAGCAGCAAGGAAAAUGCAACCCACUUCAAUUUAUUUACUUUUUUUUUUUUUUAACUAAUACAGGAAGUUGUGUAUGGAGCAUUGUAAAGAAAAAGAUUUUGGAGUAGUGUGGUCGUGUGUUAAUAAUUGUGUGGCCUUAUGCACAUUAUUUAAAUGCUCUGUUGUACUUACUCUGAGACAGGCAUUGUGCGAGGCUCUGGGAACGGAACACAAAAAAGGUAGAAUCUGGCUCUAAGCUGAUUAGAGUUUCAUGAAAGUGGAGGUGGGACGAGAAAAACAUCACAAAAUUGUUGAAAUGAAAUGAGUUUAUGUAUACCCAGUGCACAGAUAAGUGCCGGGUAACAGAGACAAAGUUGUAAAUACUGGUUUUCCCUUUCCAGAUGUUCCCUAUUUGUCUUCUUUACAGAAGACCUGAUACCAUACAGUGACAUUUUAUCAUAAUACCAAACUGCAUUGGUGACUGGAGUUUGGCUGAGCAUGGUCUUAUUUGGGUCAAGCAUGUGGGCAAGAGAGAGUCGAAAAGGGUGUCACCCUGGAACUGCCGGACAGAGAUGGGCCCAAAGCUGCUCCUGUACCUGGAGGUGUGGAAGAUGGAUCCCAUGUGGAUGGAAGGCACCCAAGAGAUGGCCACAUCACACAAAUGACUGCUGACGCCUGGAGUUGCUGCUGGGGAGAGAGAGGACCCCUCACUGAACAGGGCAGGUUGGAUGGACCACCCGCCCACAGCCCACAUUCUCUGUCCUAGAAAAGUGGUCCUGGAUACCCAUGGGAAGAGCUGAGAACUCACAGUCAGGGAAGAUGUCAGUUCCUCUCUCUUCCUCUUUCCCACCCUGACUGGGAAGGGGGAGUGUAAGGAAGCAUGUGAGGGGCAGGUGUACCCCCUCCUGCACAACAAGCUGCUAGAACCACAGGGGGAUCUGGAAUUAGAGCUGGGGAGGGUACAGGAAGGGGGAAGCUCUUUGAAUCAUGUGGGAAAUUGAAGUUCAAGAGUGAAAUGUCUCAGCUAAGACAUUUUGGGAAGUCAAAAGUGACUGAAAUGUUAUGAGACCUCGUCGGGAGGAAGGAUGGGUUUGACAGAGUAUAUCAUUGGGCAGCAACUGUGAGGAAAAAUGGUUCCACCUUUUAAUCCCAAUAACUGAGACCCCUCCACAAACCGGUUGCAGCAUCUGACGUUCCAUCUCGAUGAACUCUCAGGUGGCCCAUCCUUGUGUCAUGCCUUCAACAUGCUGAAUGCCAUUUCUUUGUUAUCUUUGGUUUUGGAGCUGUUUGUACCUCCAGAGUAUACAUUUAUGGGAGACAAGGAC